AGUCGAACGAGAUCUUCGGAUCUAGUGGCGCACGGGUGCGUAACGCGUGGGAAUCUGCCCUUGGGUUCGGAAUAACGUCGGGAAACUGACGCUAAUACCGGAUGAUGACGAAAGUCCAAAGAUUUAUCGCCCAGGGAUGAGCCCGCGUAGGAUUAGCUAGUUGGUGGGGUAAAGGCUCACCAAGGCUACGAUCCUUAGCUGGUCUGAGAGGAUGAUCAGCCACACUGGGACUGAGACACGGCCCAGACUCCUACGGGAGGCAGCAGUAGGGAAUAUUGGACAAUGGGGGCAACCCUGAUCCAGCAAUGCCGCGUGAGUGAUGAAGGCCUUAGGGUUGUAAAGCUCUUUUACCCGAGAUGAUAAUGACAGUAUCGGGAGAAUAAGCUCCGGCU
rnacentral:rRNA from 1 species